CUCCAAGCUUCAAACUCCAAAAUUUCUUGGUCAGAAGGUUGUGGCUUGCAUGUAUGAUUUUUCCUUCUCAAAUCAUCUAUAUAGAACAUUAAACAACAAUUACAAUUUCUCUCCCCCCAAUUCUUUACUCUGUCCAAAAAUUAAACCCUUAGAACCCAAUCCUCAAUUCUUCAAAUUUAGUUCUUGCAUGUGUGAUAUUUCAAACCACCAUUAAAGAACCCAUGAGAAAACAAAAGCAAAUUUUGGAACCUCUGUUUCUUUUCUCAACCGAACCAACCCUUCAUCUCCCUCAAUCUUCAUAAAUUCUUUCUUCCUUUCUUGCAUAUGGAUAAAUUCCUCAACCUUAAGCUUCUAGAUCCUAAUAAUUCAAGAUGUUGUCUAGAAUCCGAAUUUGAAGAACAAGCUUCAAGGAGGAACGGAAAUUGAGCUAUGAGCUUGAAGGAAAGCUUCAAGAUUGGAACUGAAAUUACAACCAAGUGGGUUAGUGAAAUUCCAAAUCUAUGAAAUUCUUGUACAAAUUCUGAUGUGGUAGCAAUUGCAAACUGUGGGUGUGUUUGAGAGAAUAAGCCGGAAGCCUUUGAGAAUCAUUGUUGGUUGAGAGUGUGAAUUGGAUGAAGUUUGAUAAAAUUUGUGUUUUGGACAUGUCUUCACUAAAACAGUAACUGCUCCUUCUCUGUAAUUCUGAUUUAAAUUCCACUUGUAGCUAUGGAAAACUAACGCAAUUCCCUUCUAUUUGAGUACCCACUUCGUAGAUUUUAGCUUAAUAUUGAGGUCUGUAGACGAGAUGGGAGUUAGGGUACUGUUGCUGCAAUUGUGCAGAAAUCUGGUUUCGGGUUCAGUGUAUUUCCGCUGUAAUUUUGCCUUUUCGCCAAGUCCCGAAACUGUCAAUGACUUAAACCACUCUUGACCAAUGGCUUGAUUAAGUGUUGGACUGAGUAUUGGAAUAAAAAGAAGGCCAGAAGCUGGCGUUGAGGAAGAGAUUUCGGAUAAAAGAAAUCAAGGACACAAGUGGAGGCUUAAAGAAAUAAAUGGAGUUUUACGGCUAUGAAUUUGCUAGCAUCUUCAAGACUAAGCAGAUAAACAGGUUUAUCAAUACAGGGGUAAGAAGGAAGCUGAUGAUCGAGGCUUAGCUUGGAUUAUCUUGAGAUAUUAACAUUAGUUUUCUUCCUUGUUUUGUAUUACUCUGUUUAGAUUCCUUUCCGCUGUGAUGUAUCAGUUUACUACGUUGUACUUAUACGUUGUAAAUGAAACAAGUUAUUAUGUAAUUUUAAUGUAUCUAGAUUUCAAUUA